UGGCGGCGUGCCUAAUACAUGCAAGUCGAGCGAACUGAUUAGAAGCUUGCUUCUAUGACGUUAGCGGCGGACGGGUGAGUAACACGUGGGCAACCUGCCUGUAAGACUGGGAUAACUUCGGGAAACCGAAGCUAAUACCGGAUAGGAUCUUCUCCUUCAUGGGAGAUGAUUGAAAGAUGGUUUCGGCUAUCACUUACAGAUGGGCCCGCGGUGCAUUAGCUAGUUGGUGAGGUAACGGCUCACCAAGGCAACGAUGCAUAGCCGACCUGAGAGGGUGAUCGGCCACACUGGGACUGAGACACGGCCCAGACUCCUACGGGAGGCAGCAGUAGGGAAUCUUCCGCAAUGGACGAAAGUCUGACGGAGCAACGCCGCGUGAGUGAUGAAGGCUUUCGGGUCGUAAAACUCUGUUGUUAGGGAAGAACAAGUACGAGAGUAACUGCUCGUACCUUGACGGUACCUAACCAGAAAGCCACGGCUAACUACGUGCCAGCAGCCGCGGUAAUACGUAGGUGGCAAGCGUUAUCCGGAAUUAUUGGGCGUAAAGCGCGCGCAGGCGGUUUCUUAAGUCUGAUGUGAAAGCCC
rnacentral:rRNA from 1 species